rnacentral:rRNA from 1 species
GACGUAGGGCGCGAGCGUUUGUCCGGAUUUAUUGGGCGUAAAGAGCUCGUAGGCGGCUUGUCGCGUCGUUCGUGAAAACCCGGGGCUCAACUCCGGGCUUGCGGGCGAUACGGGCAGGCUAGAGUUCGGUAGGGGAGACUGGAAUUCCUGGUGUAGCGGUGAAAUGCGCAGAUAUCAGGAGGAACACCGGUGGCGAAGGCGGCUACCUGGACAGAAACUGACGCUGAGGCGCGAAAGCUAGGGGAGCAAACAGG